GUAAAGACUCCUGGGUAGACCACCCUGAGACAGCCCCCGUAUCACAUCCCCAAGGCAGUCCGGGAAGGGAUGCGCAAGGAGAUACAAGAGAUGCUCUGCUUCAGUCCUGGUACCAAAGUGAGAAGAAACAACCUGCUUCUGUGUUAACUUCUGGCAACUAAACGAUAAGUUAGGAACCGAUACACCCCAGGUUGUUAGAUCGUAUUGCCAGUGGACGAUAUCUGACCACUAUCGACCUAUGUAAGGAUUACUGGCAGAAUCCUCUGGCCAAGGAGGUUGUUCAAAAAUUUACCUUCGUCACCCUACUUGACCUCUACCUGUUUCGGGUCAUUCCAUUUGGAAUGAAGAACCCCCUGGCUAUGUUCCAGUUCAUUGUGGACCGACUCCUGGACGACAUAGCAGUCUUUAGCAAUAUUUGGGAGGACCACCUGGAAAAUCUUGGAAUGGUAUUGGACAGGAUUAGGGAUUAACCUUAAAGUCAGACAAGCGCCACAUUGGUAUGGUCGAGGUGCAAUACUUUGGGCACCGGGUAGAGUGUGGAAAGCAGUGGCUGGAGCCAGCUUAUUGGCCCAUUCCCUAUACCAAGGCACAAGUCAUGGAAACAGCCAGCUACUACCGACGCUCUUUCCCUCGACCAUAGCGCCAUCACUAAAC